rnacentral:misc_RNA from 1 species
AAGUCGUAACAAGGUUUCCGUAGGUGAACCUGCGGAAGGAUCAUUGAUGUGUGAGGGGAGAGUGGGGAGAGAUGUUGGAAUGAGUUGGGAGAUAUCACGUGACAAACUAUUAUUUAUCAAUAUGACUAGCCACCUGGGAUCUCUGGGCUCUU